GAUGAACGCUGGCGGCGUGCCUAACACAUGCAAGUCGAACGAAGCGCCUUAAGAGAUUCUUCGGAUGAUCUUUUGGUGACUGAGUGGCGGACGGGUGAGUAACGCGUGGGUAACCUGCCCUGUACAGGGGGAUAACAGCCAGAAAUGGCUGCUAAUACCGCAUAAGCGCACAGGAAGACAUCUUCCAGUGCGAAAAACUCCGGUGGUACAGGAUGGGCCCGCGUCUGAUUAGCUGGUUGGCGGGGUAAUGGCCCACCAAGGCAACGAUCAGUAGCCGGUCUGAGAGGAUGAACGGCCACAUUGGAACUGAGACACGGUCCAAACUCCUACGGGAGGCAGCAGUGGGGAAUAUUGCACAAUGGGGGAAACCCUGAUGCAGCAACGCCGCGUGAGUGAAGAAGUAUUUCGGUAUGUAAAGCUCUAUCAGCAGGGAAGAUAAUGACGGUACCUGACUAAGAAGCUCCGGCUAAAUACGUGCCAGCAGCCGCGGUAAUACGUAUGGAGCAAGCGUUAUCCGGAUUUACUGGGUGUAAAGGGUGCGUAGGCGGCAGAGCAAGUCAGAUGUGAAAGACCGGGGCUCAACCCCGGGGCUGCAUUUGAAACUGUUUUGCUGGAGUCCGGGAGAGGCAGGCGGAAUUCCUAGUGUAGCGGUGAAAUGCGUAGAUAUUAGGAGGAACACCAGUGGCGAAGGCGGCCUGCUGGACCGGAACUGACGCUGAGGCACGAAAGCGUGGGGAGCAAACAGGAUUAGAUACCCUGGUAGUCCACGCCGUAAACGA
rnacentral:rRNA from 1 species